CCUUUACUGCAGCUUUGCAGUGGCAUUAGGAGAGCACUGUGUAGGAUAGGCGGGAGGCUUUGAAGCAGGGGCGCUAGCUCUUGUGGAGCCAUCCUUGAAAUACCGCCCUGUGCGCUUCUGAUGUCUAACCGCGUCCGGUCAGCCCGGACCGGGACCCUGCAUGGUGGGCAGUUUGACUGGGGCGGUCGCCUCCCAAAGUGUAACGGAGGCGCGCGAUGGUGGGCUCAGGCCGGUCGGACAUCGGCUGCUGAGUGCAAUGGCAUAAGCCCGCCUGACUGCGAGAGCGACAGUUCGAGCAGAGACGAAAGUCGGCCAUAGUGAUCCGGUGGUCCCGCGUGGAAGGGCCAUCGCUCAACGGAUAAAAGGUA
rnacentral:rRNA from 1 species